rnacentral:rRNA from 1 species
UACAGAGCCACGAGCGUUAGGCGGAAUCACUGGGCUUAAAGCGUGUGUAGGUGGAUGACUAAGUACCUUGUGAAAUCCCACGGCUCAACCGUGGAACUGCUUGGUAUACUGGUUGUCUUGAGGCACUCAGGGGCGAGCGGAACAGAUGGUGGAGCGGUGAAAAUGCGUAGAUAUCAUCUGGAACGCCAAUGGUGAAGACAGCUCGCUGGGGGUGUACUGACACUGAGACACGAAAGCCAGGGGAGCGAACGGG